GACGAACGCUGGCGGCGUGCUUAACACAUGCAAGUCGAACGGUGACUUCGAGAGCUUGCUCUUGAGUGAUAAGUGGCAAACGGGUGAGUAACACGUGAGUAACCUGCCCCAGACUCUGGAAUAACCCCGGGAAACCGGAGCUAAUACCGGAUACGAAGUAUAGCUGCAUGGCUACUACUUGGAAAGUUUUUCGGUCUGGGAUGUACUCACGGCCAAUCAGCCUGUUGGUGAGGUAACGGCGAAUCAAGGCGACAACAGGUAGAAGGCCGGAAAGGACGACCGGCCACACUGGGACUGAGACACGGCCCAGACUCCUACGGGAGGCAGCAGUGGGGAAUAUUGCACAAUGGGCGAAAGCCUGAUGCAGCGACGCCACGUGAGGGAUGACGGCCUUCGGGUUGUAAACCUCUUUCAGCAGGGAAGAAGCGAAAGUGACGGUACCUGCAGAAGAAGCACCGGCUAACUACGUGCCAGCCGCCGCGGUAACAC
rnacentral:rRNA from 1 species